rnacentral:rRNA from 1 species
UGGGGAAUAUUGCACAAUGGGGGAAACCCUGAUGCAGCGAUGCCGCGUGGAGGAAGAAGGUUUUCGGAUUGUAAACUCCUUUUAUCAGGGACGAUAAUGACGGUACCUGAAGAAAAAGCUCCGGCUAACUACGUGCCAGCAGCCGCGGUAAUACGUAGGGGGCAAGCGUUGUCCGGAAUGAUUGGGCGUAAAGGGCGCGUAGGCGGCCUGGUAAGUUUGGAGUGAAAGUCCUAUUUUUAAGGUGGGAAUUGCUUUGAAAACUGCUGGGCUUGAGUGCGGGAGAGGUUAGUGGAAUUCCCGGUGUAGCGGUGAAAUGCAUAGAUAUUACACAGAACACCGAUCGCGAAGGCAGCUGACAAAACCAUAAUUGACGCUGAUGCACGAAAGUGUGGGGAUCAAACA